GAUGAACGCUGGCGGCGUGCCUAAUACAUGCAAGUCGAGCGAACAGACGAGGAGCUUGCUCCUCUGACGUUAGCGGCGGACGGGUGAGUAACACGUGGAUAACCUACCUAUAAGACUGGGAUAACUUCGGGAAACCGUAGCUAAUACCGCAUAAUAUAUUGAACCGCAUGGUUCAUUAGUGAAAGACGCUUUUGCUGCCACUUAUAGAUGGAUCCCGGCGGCUUUAGCUAGUGGGUAAGGUACCGGCUUACCAAGGCACCGAUGCUUAGCCGACCUGAAAGGGUGACGGGCAAAACGGGAACGGAGACAGGGUCAAGACCCCUACGGGAGGCAGCAGUAGGGAAUCUUCGGCAAGGGGCGAAAGCCUGACGGGGCAACGCGGCGUGAGUGAGGAAGGUCUUCGGAUCGUAAGACUCUGUUAAUAGGGAGGAACAAAGGUGUAAGUAACUAUGCACGUCGUGACGGUACCUAAUCAGAAAGCCACGGCUAACUACGUG
rnacentral:rRNA from 1 species